UACCGAUUUGCUGCCACGGGUGAUGUGACACUGUUUCUCGCGUCUUCUGCUGCCUGCUGUCCGCGUGGUUAGCUGGUUGUCACACAGCCGUUGGGUCAGAUGUCCGGACAGACGUUAUCUUGUGUUUGCCGACCGCAACCACUCUAUUCGGGGCCAUUCACCGGAUUUCGACCGCCAUCGUCAGAAGAAAUGACUGAUAAAAAAUAUACAGUUGUAGAAUUCCUGGACGGCGCAAUGGCUGCUGUUCCCAGCACCUGGGUUGAGAGGGAAAAAGACAAUGUACCUGUGCUCACUCGGCGGAGCAAACCUGAAUGCAGCGGUCAGAAGAAUGCUCCGCCGGGUGGGCAAAAAUGCCCUCUGGUCAAAUUUUUGUUUUAAAGGGAGGCAGAGCAAGCGCCCUUUUAGUAAGCUUUGACUGUGUGAAGCAAUGAUUGGAGCAUGCCAGAAAUUGCAUGAAGUGAAGGCAGAUGAGGUGGAAGGUGCUAUUGGCCAGGCGCUGAAAUUUGCGCCACACAGACAAUUAAAGUGGUAUGAGUCAUUAAUGAUUUCACCAGAACUGCUCUCUUAAAAUUAUUUUGAUUAAGCCCUAAUAA